CCUACGGGUGGCAGCAGUAGGGAAUCUUCCACAAUGGGCGAAAGCCUGAUGGAGCAACGCCGCGUGGGUGAAGAAGGUCUUCGGAUCUUAAAACCCUGUUGUUAGAGAAGAAAGUGCGUGAGCGUAACUCUUCACGUUUCGACGGUAUCUAACCAGAAAGCCACGGCUAACUACGUACCAGCAGCCGCGGUAAUACGUAGGUGGCAAGCGUUAUCCGGAUUUAUUGGGCGUAAAGGGAACGCAGGCGGUCUGUUAAGUCUGAUGUGAAAGCCUUCGGCUUAACCGGGGUAGUGCAUUGGAUACUGGUAGACUAGAGAGCAGUAGAGGAAGGCGGAACGCCAUGUGUAGCGGUGAAAUGCGUAGAUAUAUGGAAGAACACCGGUGGCGAAGGCGGCUCACUGGGCUGUAACUGACGCUGAGGUUCGAAAGCGUGGGUAGCAAACAGGAUUAGAUACCCUAGUAGUC
rnacentral:rRNA from 1 species